AAAAGAGAAAGCAAGGGGUUAAACAACAUGUGCCACAGCUAUGGUGAUUGCACCACUGAGGAGGUACCUGGUCCAGGGUCGGGCCAGGCCUGGCUCCUGAACCUUUCUCCGUGGCUCUGCUUCUAUGUCCUGCUUGGAAUUGCAAUUAUGGCUGUUUCAUUGGCAAUGGCAAGUAAUAUUGAUGGAGUCACUUUUCCAUCAUAGAAACAUCUCUUUUUAAUGCUCUGUGGAUCUCUACUAGACUAGCUCUUUCCAUUCCAUUCACUGUUAACAUGCUACUUUAGGAGGCAGUAGACUGUCAUAUAGGUUGUCUUUUUUGCUGCCAUUUUUCUUCAUGGAAGCUCCUGAAUUUUUAUUUGAAACCAUGGCUUUCCUUUGCAUUGUGCAUUGUCUAGCAUGUUAGUCUAUCAUUAAGGUAUGGCCGCCACUUCAUUUCUUGUGCUCACAAGAUUGUUCAUGUGUAAUAGUGGAGUGUCAAGAAAUCCACCUUGUUGAGAUUGUGGGAAUCUGCUGCAAAGGGACAUGCCAUCUCAUCCUCUGGCUGAUAUUUCCUUGUACAGCAAACAGGGUGAUCUGUACACUGUGUCAUUUUUGGCAAGAGAGAAGAAUACUUUUUAGACAAGGCGAGGCUGAUGGGGCAGCCAUGGGGAGGUAGACUAAGGAGAGGCAGUUCCCCAAGAGUAACACCAAAAUAGUGGUAGGAAAGCUAUCUUGUCAUGCCACACAGGAGGGCUAUCUAUCCUGGAAAAGACCUUCAGGCGUAAGAUGCUCAGGAUGAACCAUCAACGUGAACUCUUGGUGAUAUGGAGGACAGUGGUAGAGUUCAAGAGAAGUUUCACACAUUAGGAAAUUCUGUAAUUUUUUAUUUCCCUGUAGGUUUCCCCAAUGAACUCACACAUGUGUUAUAUUAAGUCUGUAUUUGACCACCUACUCUAGUCUUUGGUGAUAGUCCUGCAGGGUUAGCCAGAGAGGGCCAUGGCAGUUCCUCAUCCCAUCAAAACAGAAGAGUAGAGCCUUAGGAGGAGAAACAGGAGGAGAAAAGAGAAUAGGAGGAAGGGAAAGUCAAAGAGGGGAUGCCAGGAACAAACGAUCAUGGCUCUUCUCACAGUCAAAGUUUUUCAGCCUGAUGUCUAACAGGUGCUGAGAAGUUGAGCUGUGAGUGUGAAACCUCCAUGUAGAAUUAUCAUUUGUUACCCUUGAGAAGCAAGGAAUCUGAUCUGAGUUUAUAUGAUGAGGAAAGAUUUUUUAUGCAUACUUGAAUACGAUAGAGAAAAACAAAACAAAACAAAACUGACCAAUGAAUAGAUUGCUACCAAACUGCAAGCACUCAUAAACCAUUUGAAAGUAUAUGCUGAAUUCUACAAUUUGAAAUUCUUGUCCAGAAGUGAGAAAUAGAGACAAGUUGGUGAAAGUUUAUACCUACUGAGAGAACCCAUUCAUUUUUUUUUUAAAUCAGACAGACCAUGUUUGCUGUUUAACUUGCCAAACUAAACUAACAAUGACAUCCAACCUGCCAACCUGAAAUCACAAAUACCAUUUAAAAAUGAACAGCAAAGAGGGGCAAUGAGGAGAAAAUCCUGCUUGAAUAUAUAAACAAAAGUAGGAGAGAAGACUUAACUUGUAAAAUAUUGCUAAAACUUUCUUUCCUAAGAAAGAAGCUGGAGAGCAUGUCCAAAGCACUGGGCUUUUGUUUUGCUGGAAACUGCCUGCAUUCAUUUGACUUUAAAAUGAACUCUGCUUUGGAGAAAUGUCUACAGAUUGGCCUGGUCAAAUGGUGUCAGGCAGCAGGGUUCCUGGCAGGGCAAGCUUCAGAAGCCCGAGAUCCAACAGAGCCCUACAUUUGCUGUUCAUUAUUCUGGGAUCAGCCUCUUAAAAUUCGUGUCAAUUUAUCUUUAAAUUUGUGUUCUGUAAUGGGGGAGGAGAAAAUGGAACAUGUCUUGGAGCAUCAACUCAGUGUUCUUAUUUUACUUGCAUGGAUCUUUGGCUAUCUGCUCUCUUGUCCUUUAGGUCCCAGUCAUUUUAGCCUCUCAUCCCUACAGAUGGCAAGGUAUCACCAUAGCCUUCCAAGGCAGGGAUCUUGGGCACAAGCCCCAGAAGGACCUACAUGUGUUACCAUGUGCCCUGUGGAGCUCAGACAAAAAGUGCAAGUCAGAUUGAUGAUGGCACCAUAUUUCUCCCACCCUGUGGACUGAAGCUAAGAACCAAGGCUCCCCAGGAAAAGGCUCUGUAUGAAGUUGGGAAGGUAAAGCCUCAGUUAAAGUGGAGACCUAAAGUAUUGGACAUAGCAGGAAUAUGUGCUGAGAACAGCUGCAGGCACCAAACGGAAGCAGACCAAAGAGAGAAACCAUGUGGACCAUUGAUGGUAAGGCUGUAAGGGUGGAACUGUCCAAGCCCUUUGACACAUAUGACAUUUUCCUCAGAUGCUAGACAUGGAGAUGCAGGAUGUAAUGGUUUCCCUGAUGAGUAUACUCUUGCUCUGAUCACAUCCUUCUGUGCCCCCUUCCUCCUUCUUGAAUGGGAAUGUUUACUCUGUGCCAUUGUAUAGUGGAAGCAGAUAACUUUCCUUUUGAUUUUCCAGGGGUUCACAGCUGAGAUAUUGUUUUUAGUCUCAACAGAAAUUCUGGAUGUAGACUUUUGAGCAAUGUUGGAAGUAUUAAGACUUUGGGGACUGUUAGAGAUUGAAAAACAGACAUGCAAAGCUAAUUCUAAAGAAACCUGGAAUAAGGAAUCCAAUUGAUAAGAGAGAGGAGGGAUUCUGCACGCAGGGGACGUCGAGAUCAUGAUGGGAAGACGUGCAGAGAUGACAGGCCACACUAGUGGAAGCCCAUGAACUGUAGAAUAGUGCCUGGGGAGCCCCCAUGGGUCUGAACUAGGCCCUCUGGAUAUGGAAGAUGGUUGUUUGGCUCGAACUGUUCGGGAGACACCCAGGCAGGGGGAUCGAGAUCUGUCCCUGGUGCAUGGGCAGGUUUUUGGAAAUCCGGUGCCUGUGGUGUGACGCCCUGCGCAGCCUUGGUGCAGUGGGAAGGGGCUUGGACCUGCCUAGGCUCAGUGUGCCCGGCUCUGCUGACUCGCCAUGGGAGACCUUGAUUUGGGGGAUGUGAGGAUGUGGGGUGGCUUGGGAGGGAGGGCUGAGAGGUGGGAGGUGGGAGGAGGGGGAUCUGUGGGUGGUAUGUAGAGUAAAUAGAAAAUUUCUUAAUAAAGAAAAAUGAAAGAAAAAAAUAAAGAAACCUGGAACUUGGGGGAGAAUCCUGAAAUUCUUGGCUAAAGCACUAACAUUGGUAUUAUACUUUUGUUUCCACUAAGGUUUAUUUCAUUUUAUUUUUCAUUAAAUAGAGGCACGCUUAUCACAAAAUUAACUUUUGUGACAUCACCCUCAAAUCCUCAAAACAAAACAAAAAUGUCAUGCCGCUAUCGUAAUGUCAAGAGUAUAGUCACCAUAGCCUGCUAAAUAGUCAUAGUGGCAUUAUAGCUUGCUGAGAAUGAUUAAAGGGAGAGAUUUAAGUGGUAUAAAAAAAAGACUUCAACUUUUAGCUAGAUACAAUACCUUGGAAAAAACCAACUCUUAAGCUAAAAACAACCAAAUAAAACGUUUUUCAAAGCCACUUGCCGACAUUGGGACGGUGUCAUGACAACCAGAAUCCCAGGGAUCAAUAAGUCAGAGGAAGAGAACUUCAGUGGGAGAGCAGAUAAGCUUCAAGCUGUUUUUACUCUCAGGAUAUUUCAUGAUUCUGGAUAUAGAACAACAAAUAGAGAAUCCAAGUAGAAGAACAAAGCAGAUGGGGGGAUGAUGAGAGCCUUUUAAUCGGGCUGUUGGCAUGUACAUUUGAAUUUAAGUCUCCCAAAGAAGUCAGACCUUGAGGAUCCAAGAUCUCGCAAGGAGUGAAGAAAAGAAAGGUGGUGUUGAACGAGUUUUAUAAAGUUACAGUCUACAUUCAAUUCACUUCAUUCCACCAUCAAACGAUACAUAAAGAAAAGAAACAGACCCCUAAGCAAGAACAGGCAAUCCCUGACUUAUACUCUUCUGGCUUUAGGGCACUGUGAACAUGUUAUACACUCAGUAGAAAGUUUACUUUGAAAUUUGAGUUAGGAUUAGCCUUCAUGAAUGAGGCUAAUGCCCCUAUAAACAGAGUCCAGGGAAUUAUCUAGCUUCUUUUUCUGCUGUAUAUAUGAAGAUAUAUACAAAGUCUUCAUCCAAAGAGAGGGGCCUAGUAAAACCCACCAAAUAGCACCCUCACUUGAAAUGUGAAGUCUCCAGAGCCAUGAGAAAUCAAUGUGGUUUAUAGUAGAAACUGAAUGAAGACACAUCCUUAAACCACACAUAGAAAUUAGUCAAGAUGUACUGUAGCACUUAAGGUAGGAGUCAAAUUCACAAAGCUCAUAAAUAAAACAGGGAAUGCCCUGAAGACCUAGUGACUGGCAAAUGUACUUUAUAGUGAUCAUAAAAAUAAUUAAUUGUAAAAAGUAAUCAUUCUAGCUCCAUCAAAAUUAAUAACUCUCAUUCUUCAAAAUAUAUGACCAAUAAAAUAAAGUAUCAAGUCAAAGAUACAGAAAAAUGUAUAAUAUAUAUUAUCAUGGGCUUGUUUUAAUAUCUAGACUUUUCAGUUCUUUUUAUUAAUUUAUUUCAUGGCCUUUGAAGUAAAAUAUUAAUACAUGCAUAGAUUUUAAUUAUGGUUGAUCUAUAUAUGGAACACACCCAUAUAUUCAACAUAAAAAUUAAUUAUAGAAAUGAUGAUUAGGGGGCUGAAGAGAUAGUUCAACAGAAAUACAAAGUUCUUUGAUCUCCAUGCAUGUGUUAUAGCAUGCAACAAAUGCACACACACACACACACACACACACACACACACAAGCAUGAGUGCCACACAGAGAAUAAAUAAAUGUAAAAAAUUAAAUAAUGAUGUCAAGCAUAAUUGCAGAACUAAAACUAAAUGAGCAUUAAAACUGAGAAUUCUAGUUCAUAAUGACUGCACAGUCAGACAAUGUAGAUAUAUUAAAACAGGGAGUGUAUGAGCAAACACUUUUAAAAAACUUUUCUCAGUACUGAGUUGUUAGUAAUGAGGGUAAGUAUUGGAGAACACUUGCAUGACUGUCAUGAGAAUGCAUGAAUAUAUACUUUUGAGAUCUACUGAUUUGUUGGAUUCCUGUUGUGCAAAGAAGGGAAUAUGUUUAUAGUACACAACAAUACAUGGACUGUCUGUGAAUUUCUGGGCUGGAUAGGCUAAGAAAAUAAAUAACAAAUAGGGCACAAGACACUAAUUUUCAGUUGAUGGUUAAACAUGAUUUUCUCUGUUAAAGCAAUAUGAUUUCAUAAAGCUAUUGCAUGUUCAUAAUAAAUAGAGUAUUAUAAGCAAAAUAUGGAUAUUACUGUCUUCACUAAAGAGAUAAAACAACAAGCAUCCUGAACUCUGUAAAAAGUAAAUGUGCAAGCAAGGCAUGCUGCUGUGGCAACAAUGAGCAUCACUCUUGAAGCAAUCAUCCUAUCAUCUUUAGCCAUCUGUAUUUUUUUCUACUCUGUGCCUUUAUAGCCUGGUUUCUUGACAUGCACUUCUUUGCCUGCCUGGAAGCUCCUUCUCCACUGGUUAGCUUUCAUAAUGCCAGAAGUUGCUAUGUAGGCACAAAGGAGAGAAAAACCAGCAGUGGUCUUCACUAGCUUUUGACCUUACAUGCUGCAAUACCAAUUUGCCAAGCACGAGGUGCUUCCCUGUGCAACAGCGGUACCACUGUUAUAUGGGCAGCCAACUGACUUAUGACUGCAGCUGAGGGCCAGCACAUGGGAAGACGUUCAUGUCUGGUAUGUGGACCUUAUCAAAGACUUAUGACUGGGAAGACCAUAGGCUUUAGGAAUUCACCUUCUACUUUUGUUCUGCUAAUUGGUCAUAUCGAGCUGCCUCUUACUGUGUUUUUUCCCCCCUUUUAAUAGCCAUAGACGACUCCUGUCCUCACCCUUGAUCAAAGAAAUUUCCAUUUUAGCAAACAGCCAUUCAUGCAGUGCCUCCUGGCUGGUCAAGGUGCUCAGAAAAAGUGACUAUUGACUGCUCAUCCUUAAGUGGGACACCCAUAUUACUCACUCAAAGCUCCAAGAACAUUAUGGAAGAGGGGAUAAAAAGAAUAUAAGAUCCAAGUGAUAAGGAGAAGGACUGUUAAACACCGUCUUAUGGGUAUGACCUGGCCAUGGUACUCAUGAACUCUCAGCAAGAGAAGUUGUCUGCAUAGGCCUGUACAAGACUAAUUCUUAGAUGAGAAAGAAGCCAGGGGAUCUGCUGGCGGAGGCGUACUGGUGGAGGAAAUCAUUGUCUUUAGUGAUGUGACCACUGAGAUGCAUGGUAGAUAGGCCCUUUACCAACCUAGCUAUAUCCUCAACCUCUUGUUUUUCUAUUUUAUUAGUCAAUGUUAAUAAUAAACUUAUUUUAAUUUUGAUCUGCAACAUAGGUGCAUUGUAUGUCAAUAGACAGUGUCUUGGUGGCCUGAACAUACUACGAAGCAAAGAAAAAUUAAACUUUCUUCCCCCCUCUCUCUUCAGUCUGAGGCAACUGGAAGAGACUGAAUAGCCUGGAGACCAUAUAAUAAAAUUAACAACCGUGAAGCCUGGCUUUACUUGUGCUUUUCUCUUCUCUUCACACCUUAGAAACUCAUCCUGUGCUCAAUGCUGUGAGGCUUCCCUUCCCUGGCAUGCUAGUGUUUGUCUACAUGGUAAGCAGAACUGUGCAGACAGAGGGAACUGGAUGAGUCUCUCUGAGUAGCUGGACAUGUAACAGCAACAUGCAGAGCCAGUAGUCUUAAGAUGGUUACUCAUAGGCUGACCAUGAACACCUAAGAAACAGAAAAUAAAUCCACAGAAGAUGUAGGAGGCAAAGAUAGACCUCCAGUCUUUCUACACAGGAGUUCAGUACUCCAGGUGGCCCAGAAGCAUUCUAAAUCCCACAAACAGAGCUACCCAGUGUGACUCUUUCAUAUUCUUUAUAAUAAAUCCCUCUCUCACCUUUGCUUGGAUGGACUUAAGUUGGUGUCUAUAACUUGCAUCCACAGAGUUCUAAUUAGUGAGCCUGCAGGUUCUGUCUACAUGAGCCAAAUCUUCUAAUCCCAUUGGUACUUUUUUCUUGAGUGCUCAGUCUGCAAACUGCCAAUAUUUUUGCUCAGAGACUACCUUUACAAACAUAGUCUCAUGGCUUGUGUCCCUUGAGAGCAGGUGACACUUCAUACUGGAUGCUAAGGUGAACAGAUGGAAUGCAAAUGACCUCAUUUUUCUUUAGCUAGGGCCAAGCAUGGACAAGUUGCCAAGCUGUCCCAAACAGGGUGUCCUUCCCCACACACUUUUCAUAUUGAGUAGCAUUUUGUGCCCCCAUUUUCUACAGGUCUACAGUUUUUCCAUUCCACACAGCAUACAUAGAAUAAGCCGGUCAUGAUAAUGUAUACUCACUGUUUCCAGAACAAUCUUUCCUUGAAGGUAUAAUAAGGAGUUUUAUGUUGGGAUAUAGACUUCCAUACAUCCACUCAUAUUUUCAUAAUAUUAACUUUACUACAUACAAUGAAUGAUAAUGACUCUGCUAGACAUUGCAGUAUACUCUUUCUAUAAAUAUCCUCAUUUAAUUCUAAUAACUCUAUGAUAUAAGUACAGGUAUUGCUCUACUUUAUAACAAAUAUGUAGAUAUGAAGUAAAAAUAGAAAAAUUACUCAAACAUUUGCUACAGACUGUCUAUGUCUUCCUAAAAUAUAUACGAUGAAGCCCUACCUUAAUGUGAUAUUAAGAGGUAGUUAGCAGGUAAUUAGAUCAUGGAGGUAGAGCCUCACAAAUGGAAUCAGUGUCCUUAUAAAAGUACAGAAGAGACCUUGCUUCCCUUUCUCUCUGCCCUCUGUGCUGUGAGACUAUGAGAAAACAACUCUCAUUGGAAUGCAACAAUACUGGCAUUUCUCAGCCUCCAAAAGUAUGAGAACUAAAUUCCCACUGUCUAAGCCACUUGUCUAUGAUGCUUUUUGCUAUGGAAGCCCCAGCGAAGAGACAUUUGACUCUGUAGUUAUCCAUCCACAUAAAUUACCACAUUAUACUACUUAUUGUUUAAUGGUGUUACAUCCAUAAAGUAUAAAUUCCUUUAUGACAUGCUCUAUAGUUUAUUCAUUUUAUUAAAUCCAUGGACCAAUAAAUACAUUAUUGAAGUAGCAGAAAUAGGAGUUUAAUGAGUGAUGAAAAUAAAUGACUUUAUCCAGGAAGCAAUAUUUCAGUUCCAUUUCUUUUUCUUCUCAGAAUGGCUUUGACCUUUCCCAGCCUGUUACUUAUUUGCAAAGGGAUGUUAUAAAUGUGCCUACCUUGGACCAUUACAAAUAUUCUCAUGAGCAUGUUUCUAAAUUAAUUUUAGAUCAUAUGUAUUGUUGACAAAUGAGCCCAAAAUCUUACAUUGGGGAAGGUGAAUAUGACCUAACCGUACAAGUUCAUUUAAAUUUGAAAGAAUUAUAAAAGGUGACUUGUAUUCAAAUUAGAUUAUCCUCUGCAUACAAUCAUAGUAUAAUCUGUUCAUUGUCUCAGUUUAAAACUCAAAAUAAAAAAUGUAAAUAUUGGAAGUAGCUAUUUUUGUGCCGUGUGUACUCGGUAUGUCCUUUGCAAGAAAGAAAAAUGAAUAAAUAAGGCAAUGAUUUGUGAUGACUCCAAUUUUCUGCCCUUGAUAGGAAGCAGAUUGCAUCUAUCCUCAUCUUCCUGGGGUCAUGAAUGCUCCUUGCUCUUGAACCAGCGGCCACUCUGGAUGAUCUCCCAUUGUAGCAUCCUCCUCCACAUGCAGGGUACUUAGUGAAAGUGUUCCUGAAUGUUAUCUCUUCUACUUUACUCUUUCCUCAUGUCAUAGCUUCUCUAGCAUCUGCUUUAAAUGUUUUGACAAUUGGACUUCAAUUCCAUAUCUCUUGUUGAGACCCUUAUUUUGAUGGCUAAACUUAAAUUUCUAAGUAGCCCAUGGGCACCUCCCCUUGGGUGCCUUUACAGCAUCUUCAACCAGUAACUCUGAAGUCCAACUUAUCAAUGUCUCUCUAUCUCACUGCAGGCCAUGAGUUUCCUCUUAACUGUGUGUUUUUUAUCACCCAGGGCCAAAUUGAGACAGCCACAUUCAACUUUUAUUUCCUUAGUUCAUCUCUCUUAACUAUUUUUCUGGUUCAAAUGAAUGAAACUCAGAAAGAAAAUUGCAAUACCUUUAAUUCACAUUUCAUUCCAGUGGUAUAAUUAAAGACUUUUACCUUUAAGACUUAAAAAAAUUGACAUUGAAACUCUGUUACCUAAUAUUUCUAUAGUUAACCUUGUCCCGUAAAGCUUAUAUGUGAUCCUGACAUUCCACAGAAACCUUUACUGCACUUUGUGGUUAAUAGAAAAGGUAUCUAAUAUUGCAUUAAAAAUUGGACUCUAGCUGUAGUUUGUCUUCUUUCUGUCACUCUAAGUUUCUUCUUUCUCUCCACCCUCACACCAUUCCAUGUGCUUCAUCUUUAUCAGAUUCCAUGCUAUGGCCCAGCAGUAAAUGAACACAGCAUACUCUUCACUUAUGUUAUUUUCUACAUGUGAAAUAAAUCUCACUGUAGAGUGAUUUGUUCUGCUGAAGAAAUUCAUGAAAAUGAAGUCCAAGUUACAAUGCUGUUUAAAAGUCUUUCCAGACUUUCUUCAGAUAUUACAACAUAGGAAGAAGUCUUUCAUGCCUGGUCUCUUAAAAUAUCAUGCAGAUCCUUUCUCAUGACACAUGACACCCCAUAUUGACUUAUAUUUGUGUCUCCUUUAUUAUACUGCAAGAGUGCCUUGCCCUUAUAUGUUGACUCUGAAUAGUCUCUAACAUAAUAUCAAAUACUUAAAUGUUUCUAAGUUAACAGUUGA